rnacentral:rRNA from 1 species
CAAAUCCGGCGUCAACCAUACCAGCAGAGGAAGCAUCAGCACCAGCACGCUCCCAAGCAUUAAGCUCAGGAAAUGCAGCAGCAAGAUAAUCACGAGUAUCCUUUCCUUUAUCAGCGGCAGACUUGCCACCAAGUCCAACCAAAUCAAGCAACUUAUCAGAAACGGCAGAAGUGCCAGCCUGCAACGUACCUUCAAGAAGUCCUUUACCAGCUUUAGCCAUAGCACCAGAAACAAAACUAGGGACGGCCUCAUCAGGGUUAGGAACAUUAGAGCCUUGAAUGGCAGAUUUAAUACCAGCAUCACCCAUGCCUACAGUAUUGUUAUCGGUAGCAAGCACAUCACCUUGAAUGCCACCGGAGGCGGCUUUUUGACCGCCUCCAAACAAUUUAGACAUGG